UAAAUACUCCCUAUGUCCCAUAUUAAGUGACUCAAAUUUGUCUAAAAAUGGACGUAUCUAUAUACUAAAGCACGUUUAUAUACAUGUAAUAUUUUGGCACUUAAUAUGGGACGGAGGGAGUAUAAG
rfam:Brachypodium distachyon strain Bd21 chromosome 1, whole genome shotgun sequence.